AAAUUUGUUGUAUAACAUGAAGUUUUGGUGCUUAAUUUGUAAAAUCAUAACCUAAUUUGAUGUUUAAUAGGCUUUUCCUUAAUCCCUCCUUAUUUUCCAAGAUAUUCGCUUAUCCAAGCUUCUGCCGGCCCGUUUAGCAUGGAUAAGUGAGACUCUACUGUAUCUGUGGAAUGUCCAGGGUGGGAGAAAGAACUCCUCAGGCAUCUUCAGAAGUUGUGAGGUCUGUUAGAAACUAGGCCAGUAGAGUUUAUAUAUCUGUGGAAGGUCCAAGGUGGGAGAAAGAGCUCUUGUCUGUUGGAGGCAAGUGUGAAUGUAUUGCUGUGAGUUUUCCCGGCUGUAUGGCCAUGUUCCAGAAGCACCCCCUCCUGACGUUUCGCCCACAUCUAUGGCAGGCAUCCACAGAGGUUGUGAGGUCUGUUAGAAACUAGGCCAGUAGAGUUUAUGUAUCUGUGGAAGGUCCAAGGUGGGAGAAAGAGCUCUUGUCUGUUGGAGGCAAGUGGGAAUGUAUUGCUAUGAGUUUUCCGGGCUCUAUGACCAUGUUCCAGAAGUACCCCCUCCUGACGUUUCGCCCACAUCUAUGUCAGGCAACCUCAGAGGUUGUGAGGUCUGUUAGAAACUUGGCCAGUAUAGUUUAUACAGUAGAGUCUCACUUAUCCAAGCUAAACGGGCCAGCAGAACCUUGGAUAAGCGAAUAUGUUGGAUAAUAAGGAGGGAUUAAGGAAAAGCCUAUUAAACAUCAAAUUGGGUUAUGAUUUUACAAAUGAAGCACCAAAACAUCAUGUUUUACAACAAAUUUGACAGAAAAAGCAGUUCAAUACGCAGUAAUGUUAUGUUGUAAUUACUGUAUUUACGAAUUUAGCAGCAAAAUAUCACUAUAUAUUGAAAACAUUGACUACAAAAAUGCAUUGGAUAAUCCAGAACGUUGGAUAAGUGAGACUCUACUGUAUCACGAUAUAUUGAAAACAUUGACUGCAAAAAUGGCUUGGAUAAUCCAGAAACUUGGAUAAUCCAGAAACUUGGAUAAGCGAGGCUUGGAUAAGUGAGACUCUACUGUAUCUGUGAAAUGUACAGGGUGGGAAAAAGUACUCUUGUCUUUGUGAAUAUUGCUGUGAGCUUUCCGGGCUGUAUGGCCAUGUUCCAGAAGCAUCCCUUCCUGAUGUUUCGCCCACAUCUAUGGCAGACAUCCUCAGAGGUUGUGAGGUCUGUUAGAAACUAGGCCAGUAGAGUUUAUAUAUCUGUGGAAAGUCCAAGGUGGGAGAAAGAGCUCUUGUCUGUUGGAGGCAAGUGUGAAUGGCAUUGCAUUGGCCAAAACUUUUGUUCCCAAAAUGCUCUUCAUUUCAGGGGCAUUUUUACAUCCUUUGGGCUACUUGGGUAAUUUGACAUCAUGGGAGCAGUUACCAAAAAGGCUCUCCUGUCCAGGGCUGUAGCCAAGGAAAGGGGGUGUUUAGAGGAAAGGGGGUGUCUCUCCUUACAUGUAUACACCCCUCUAUCCAACCAAGUGCAUUUAUCUUUUCUCAUUGGUUCAAACAUGCAAGGUCGCUUUCCCCCUCCCCCUUUUUGUACACUAUUUAAAUGUUUAUUAAGAGGAACAAUAUUGCAAAGAGUAACAAGUUUUGGACUAAGUUCUAUACGGGUCACUUUGAAUCAUUAAUAAUCUAGCUCAAUGCUAUAAAAUUAUGAGAUUGUAGUUUUACAAGGCCUUCUCUGCCAAACAGUGUUGAUGUGGGAUUCUUAGCCAUAUAAUUCACCCAUUAAAAGCUACAGGUUAGCUGCAAAUUUAAGGUUUCUUACAUUUAUUCAGUUCUGAAUUUCGUCAUGCCUGCUGAGAUAUAAUCAGUAUACUGUCAUGUCUGCAAAACGUAUUACACAUAACAUGUUUUCUGCCUCCUGGUGCAAAAAUAGGAGUGAAGUAAAUACAUGAAGAGUUAGAAACCUGCUUUCUAAACUUUGUUGGGCUAAGAUUUAUUUAUUAUUUAUUAGCCCUAGCCAGCACAGUAAAAAGGCAAAGAAUGAUGGGAAUUGUAAUAUAUCAGUGUCCAGCAUUCCUGAAAUACAACAAAACACUUUUGCAUAGUGUUAAUGAGCAAUAAAUUGUACUCCCGUUUCGGAUUUGGGAGUGUUUUGUUUUCUCCCCCCCCCCCCCUUGCUGAAACAUUUCUGCUAGUUUUUACUUGUUCUGAGGAAUUUGUUCAUCUGUUUGUAUUAGUGCAAAAAAGUUCAGCCUUGAGCAAAGGCAUUUACCGAAAGUUACAUGCAAAAAAGUUUUUGUAAAAGUCUGAUUUCAAAUAGUCACAAAUGCGCACCACAUUUUGCUUGUUUCCCAGUCAGAAUUAAAUUAGAACAUCUGUUGUCCAUAAUCAUCCUUCAUAUAGAGGCAAUUAUAGCAUAGUUUUCAGUUUCUCGGAAUAUAUAAACCAAAUUUUGUUAUCUUCAUGAUUAGUUUUAAUGAUGCAUUUGUGCUAGAGCAGAGUUCCUGAAAGGUACUAAUUUUCUUCAUAUUUUAGGAUUUAAAUGCAUAAUAAAUGAGCAGAAAGCAAGUGGAAAUAGAAUUGGCCUAACCACAUGCUCCAGACAAGCUGCAUUAAUUCUGCCGUGUAGAUGCACCGAACCUGGAAUAAAGAAAACUACCAGAUAAUCUUAGGAGGCCAUGUCUACACUGGCAGGCAAAUCCAGAGCAAAUCUAGCAGCAGCCACAACAAUGGAGUAUGGAAGGAGGUCCAUAAGGAGUGCACCUUGAAUUACUGCACUGAGUGUACCAACCCUAGUUGGUGCAUGCAGCCACAGCCAACGAGAUACACUCUCACGAUAUAUGUCCUGUUACCUGAGAACCUCUUGGAAGAAGACUGUUUGCAUGAACAAGGGCCAGUAUGAAGACGACUUUGCGACUGGAAUCCACUUUAGAUGAUAUGAGAAUGAGGUAUGUUUUUUUUCUGAAAGAGAAAUAACCUUUUUCUGAUAUUUGAAAAUUCUUAAAACCUGAUGAACGAUAGGGACAGAAUGAAUAUUCUCAAUUAUGUCUUUUCUGGCUGAAAAAUGGCUUCUCUAACAGAUAGGAAAUGUCAUCUGGAAGAAUUUUGCAGUUUUCGCCUAGUAUUUGAAUGUCCCGCAGUAUUCUAGGGAUAUGAUUCUGUGAAGAAAUACAAUUUUGGCACAACAAACAUGUUUUUUUUUGCUCAAGGAAGUAUAUUUCUCUGCAGAAUACCUCCUUUGGAACAUGUGGAUACAAGGGGAAUACUGCACUGAUAUAUUUGUUUUCUUCCACAGCAGGGAGAAAAUUAUAGCAAUUACUCAUCUUUGCAUGCAAGGACAAAAUAGUGAAAGAUUGACAUCCUUACUGCACAAAGAAUAAAAAGAUAUGCUCAAUUCCUGAUCUUCUUUCUUGCCAUGUAUGAACAUGGGUGUUUCCAUGCAUAAUUAUGGUAUGUUUUAUUUGAAAUGAAGUAAUUCACCCACCACUGUAGAGGAACAAGCUAGCAUAAAAAAGAGGUUUUCUGAAACAUGCAGCGUGCUUCUCUUUCCAACUCCACCACACUGCUAGAAUAUCCUUGGUUUCUAAAGAAGAUUUGAAAAACCUUUACCUCUUUCUACAUCUCAACCAAUUUCAUGUUAAAUAAAGCCUUGAAGUGAAAUUCUAGCCAAGUAUGACUAUAACACAACUAUCUUCAAAUUCCAUAUUUUACUUCCUCGCCAUGUGAAUGACCAUAUGAUGUUAAGCCUGUUAUCAUACAUUUAACAUGACUUUUACUAAAUAGGCAGUUAUCCAAGAGAUGGUAUAAAAGCCUGUUUCAAUCAUUUCAGCCUCAGCAUUAACAUGUAGAAAGGAACAUUGCUGAUAAAGCCACCUUCAGGCUUAAAGUUAUGAACCAAGGCAACUUUUUCUUUGCA